GGGGAUGUAGCUCAGUAGCAGAGCAGCUGCUUCACAUGUGAGAGGUCCUGGGUUCAAUACACAGCAUCUCCA
rnacentral:tRNA from 1 species